AAUCCGAUGGUUCGGAAUUGUAUUUGGGGGGUUCAAUUCCCCCUUCC
rnacentral:tRNA from 1 species